rnacentral:rRNA from 1 species
AGUGAACGCUGGCGGUAGGCCUAACACAUGCAAGUCGAACGGCAGCACAGUAAGAGCUUGCUCUUACGGGUGGCGAGUGGCGGACGGGUGAGGAAUACAUCGGAAUCUACUUUUUCGUGGGGGAUAACGUAGGGAAACUUACGCUAAUACCGCAUACGACCUACGGGUGAAAGCAGGGGAUCUUCGGACCUUGCGCGAUUGAAUGAGCCGAUGUCGGAUUAGCUAGUUGGCGGGGUAAAGGCCCACCAAGGCGACGAUCCGUAGCUGGUCUGAGAGGAUGAUCAGCCACACUGGAACUGAGACACGGUCCAGACUCCUACGGGAGGCAGCAGUGGGGAAUAUUGGACAAUGGGCGCAAGCCUGAUCCAACCAUACCGCGUGGGUGAAGAAGGCCUUCGGGUUGUAAAGCCCUUUUGUUGGGAAAGAAAAGCAGCAGGUUAAUACCCCGCUGUUCUGACGGUACCCAAAGAAUAAGCACUGGCUAACUUCGUG